ACUGACGCUAGGUGUCGACACCUAUAAAUAGUAAAAAAUAAAAUUAAAUUUAAAUUAAAUUUUUUUUUAAAAAUAGUUUACGUUGAUGCAUGAUGAUAGCUUGUCUAUUAUAUUGUUGCAUUAAAUUUUUAAUAAAUGUAAUAAUUGCGUAUGUGGAAUUUAGAAAAUGUGAUUUGUGUGUACUUAAAAUUUUGGGUUGAGGUUUAGGUUAAAUGUGAUAAAUGUAAUACCCUGAGUCGUGAAACAUGUAUAUUGUCGUUACGUUCUUUUUGUUUAAGAACUAUGUAAAUGUAUUUUUGAGAAUUGUAAUUAUUCU
rnacentral:lncRNA from 1 species